CCUACGGGAGGCAGCAGUGAGGAAUAUUGGUCAAUGGAGGGAACUCUGAACCAGCCAUGCCGCGUGCGGGAAGAAGGCCCUAUGGGUUGUAAACCGCUUUUGACCGGGAGUAAUAAGGGCCGUGCGCGGUCCGAUGAGAGUACCGGUGGAAUAAGCAUCGGCUAACUCCGUGCCAGCAGCCGCGGUAAU
rnacentral:rRNA from 1 species